rnacentral:rRNA from 1 species
UACGUAGGGUCCGAGCGUUGUCCGGAAUUAUUGGGCGGAAAGAGCUCGUAGGCGGUUUGUCGCGUCUGCCGUGAAAUCCCGAGGCUCAACCUCGGGUCUGCAGUGGGUACGGGCAGACUGGAGUGCGGUAGGGGAGAAUGGAAUUCCUGGUGUAGCGGUGGAAUGCGCAGAUAUCAGGAGGAACACCGAUGGCGAAGGCAGUUCUCUGGGCCGUAACUGACGCUGAGGAGCGAAAGCGUGGGGAGCGAACAGG